AUUGCUGCUCAGCCUUUUGGCUAAGAUCAAGUAUAGUAUCUGUUCUUACCAGUUUAAUAUCCAAUACAUCCUCUCUCUGAGGACAAUAUAUUAAAUGGAUUUUGGAGCAGGGAGAUGGAAUAGGAGCUUGUUGUAUCCACUCCACGCAUCAACCUGGUAUUGCAGUACUUCCAAGAAAGGUGCACCCUCU